rnacentral:lncRNA from 1 species
AAAGUUUCAGAUUCUUUCUUUUUCUGUAGGAUUUUUUUAGGGUUCCCUCAACCCUUUGAGCACCGCCGCUCCCCUUUGCGCCAAGGCUCCGAUUGCGACGGAGAUGACCACGACUCGGCGGGUUCGGCGUAUGGGUAAGUUUUUCCUUCCUUUUCUUUAUAUUUUAAAUGAAAAAUAAAUAAGAAAAAAUAAAAAAUAAAAACACGAUUCACCUUCGAAAAUAAAUCUUUGAAAUCUCAGUAUUUCUCUUUAUUUUCGUUUGUUUUUACACUCCAAAAAAAAUUCCCCCUCAUUUACACAAUAUAAAUGGCCUUUUAUAGCCCGAAAUCGAAAAAAUAAUCAAAUCUAAAUGCUAUUUUUUUGCUGUUUCUUCUCUCCGGGACUCUUUGAGUCCGUGUUUUUGUAGGUGUUCGUGGAGAGAAACGCGUGCGUGGAGGAGAGAUCAGCCCGAGACGUGCGGCGCUUGGACGCUUGCUGAAGGUGUUGGGGGCUGUUGCUGGUGGCUUGCUGCUUAGGGCUAGGUUUUUUUGUGCUUUUUGUUUUUUUUUUUGCUGUAUUAGGCUUGUUUAAUGCUUUGGGCCCGUUUAUUGGUUUGGGCCCGGGCAUAUUUGGGCUUGUAUAGCCAUUACCAGUUAUGUGUUGAAAUUAUGGUUCAAGGCAAAAAUAUUUACAGCGUGUUUGGUUCGCUGUAAUAG